rnacentral:lncRNA from 1 species
UCUCAAAAGAUUAAACUUAUGUUCCCCAAACCACGACAGCGCCCCUCAGUCUCUCCACAGAUCCCCCAGGGCGCUCGUCUAAAGAGGAGUAUUUGGUGCCCCAAGUUUUCCGCCCGCGCAGCGUGUUGAACUUGAGUAUAGCGUUCGCACAGCCCACACUGUGCCCACGCGCUCACCUCGGCGGGAGCCACGGACUAACUAGGUGCCCCUGUUUUCUCGUUCAGGGGGUGGGGCAGCCUGGCUCCAGGAGACUGAGACACGCCGCAAACGUCGAGCGGGCCCCCCCGCCGUGACCGGCCUCGUCACUUAGAAGGAGAAAGGGCAAAAGGGCUGAUCGGAACACUCUUUUAACACUUAACAAUUUGAGGCAGGAGCCUGUAAGCAGAGGCGAACUGCGAGAAUUCGCUGCUGUUUAAAGAGCAGGGCAAAGUUGCCAAGAAACUCACUACAACGUGGCUGUUUACUCCCGGCGAAUGGGCCCCAAAGAAAAUAUGACCGGACCAGGUGUCCCGGCGCGAUCCGCAAAGCCGCUCCUGGCGACUCUCUUCUCAGGCGAGUCCGAACCGGGCGGGAGGAGCGGGCAGACUAUCAGAAAAGUUAUUUCGAGAUUCAGCCAAAUGUUCUGACUGGGGGACCGAAAACGGGACGAGGCGUUUCCUGCGGUAACGCUCUGGCCCGCAGCGGGGCCCAGCGCCGAGCGCGCCGCAGUCGCGCGCUCCCCGCCCAGGGCUGUUCGGAAAGGACGCUCCCCUCCUCCCUGUAAGAAGCGAGCCCGAGGUCGGCCAGCCGGGGCUGCCCGGGUUCUACGCGGGGCCUGAACUUCAGCCUUCCUCUGGAGGAACGCGCCUCUAGUUUUGCUCUGGAAGGAGAAAUGGGUGCAGUUCUUCCAGAGCUCUCAAGAUUCCAGUCGCCGGACAACCCUGGAAACUCUGGGAAGUUCUAAACUGAGUUUCCCUUGUUCCCUGAGUCCCUUUCCAUCUUCCCUACCAGGCAGGGGCUAAAGGGCUGCUGACCGAGACGGUGCCUUUUCAGAUGAGUUUUUCCUCGUGGACUGGAGAAGCGCCGCCGCCCGCUCCGAAGGCGACUUGCCGACCUCAGCGCCCUGGGCUCGCGCGGCGCACCGCC